UUUUGGGACUUAUGUAUCCUCUCAGGAGGACAAUAAUGUUACAGUACUUUAACUCCCCUUUAGGAUACAGCCACUAACAAUCUUAGUUACUAAUUCAAACUUCCAAUCUUCAAAUACUUACCUAUUUAACAAAUGUAAUUCUUUUAAAAAUGCAAUAAUUAAAUGAGAACUGAUACUAUUAAAACGAUCCUGCAUAGUUCCUGAUUUAAAAUAGUUACCCCUUGUGAGGGAAUAUUCAAAAGUCAAGCAAGACAUGCUUGACCGUGAUUCUUUCAUCACAAGGGAUGCAAAACGGAGGAUCUUCACCCUUCGAUAGU